rnacentral:sRNA from 1 species
GCUGGGUGUGGUGGUGCACGCCUGUAAUCCCAGCAGCUCUGGAGGCUGAGAUAGGAGGAUUGCAGGUUCAAAGCCAGCUUCAGCAACAGUGAGUCGCUAACCAACUCAGUGAGACCCUCUCUCUA